rnacentral:rRNA from 1 species
UACGUAGGGUGCGAGCGUUAAUCGGAAUUACUGGGCGUAAAGUGUGCGCAGGCGGCGCUGCAAGUCGAGUGUGAAAUCCCCCGAGCUUAACUUGGGAAUUGCGCUCGAAACUACGGCGCUGGAGUAUGGCAGAGGAAGGUGGAAUUCCACGUGUAGCGGUGAAAUGCGUAGAGAUGUGGAGGAACACCGAUGGCGAAGGCAGCCUUCUGGGCCAAUACUGACGCUCAUGCACGAAAGCGUGGGGAGCAAACAGG